UGACGCUGAGGCACGAAAGCGUGGGUAGCGAACAGGAUUAGAUACCCUGGUAGUCCACGCUGUAAACGAUGAUCACUCGUUGUUGGCUACUUUAGUAGUCAGUGACUAAGGGAAACCGAUAAGUGAUCCACCUGGGGAGUACGUCGGCAACGAUGAAACUCAAAGGAAUUGACGGGGGCCCGCACAAGCGGAGGAACAUGUGGUUUAAUUCGAUGAUACGCGAGGAACCUUACCUGGGCUUAAAUGCUGGCUGCAUUCACGCGAAAGCGUGAUUUCCUACGGGACCGCCAGCAAGGUGCUGCAUGGUUGUCGUCAGCUCGUGCCGUGAGGUGUCGGGUUAAGUCCCAUAACGAGCGCAACCCCUAUCGUUAGUUGCCAGCAUGUAAUGGUGGGGACUCUAACGAGACUGCCGGUGUAAACCGGAGGAAGGUGGGGAUGACGUCAAAUCAGCACGGCCCUUACGUCCAGGGCUACACACGUGUUACAAUGGCCGGUACAAAGAGCAGCCACCUGGCGACAGGGUGCUAAUCUCUUAAACCGGUCUCAGUUCGGAUCGAAGUCUGCAAUUCGACUUCGUGAAGAUGGAGUCGCUAGUAAUCGUGCAUCAGCCAUGGCGCGGUGAAUAAGUUCCCGGGCCUUGUACACACCGCCCGUCAAUCCAUGGAAGCCGGGGGUACCUAAGUCCGUA
rnacentral:rRNA from 1 species